UACGUAGGUGGCGAGCGUUGUCCGGAUUUACUGGGCGUAAAGAGCGCGCAGGCGGUCAAGUCAGUCGAAUGUGAAAGCCCCCGGCUCAACUGGGGAGGGUCAUUCGAUACUGAUCGACUUGAAGGCAGGAGAGGGAAGUGGAAUUCCCGGUGUAGUGGUGAAAUGCGUAGAUAUCGGGAGGAACACCAAUGGCGAAGGCAGCUCGCUGGGACGGUACUGACGCUGAGACGCGAAAGCGUGGGAGCAAACAGG
rnacentral:rRNA from 1 species